CAGGGAGACAUAAACUGAUUAUGAUGUCUGAUGUUUAAAUUCAGGCCUUAAUCCUGUCACCUUAGGUCGAUCGGUACCUCAGAUUAAUAAAAUUAAAAGAGAGAAAUCAAUUUUAAUUUUUCUUUAAUUUCAGUUCCUAAACUUGUCUAGGUCACACCCAACAAACUUUCUCCUGGGCUAUUAGCUCAGGCGGUUAGAGCGCACCCCUGAUAAGGGUGAGGUCCCUGGUUCAAGUCCAGGAUGGCCCAUUCGUUGUUGGGGGUAUAGCUCAGUUGGUAGAGCGCCUGCUUUGCAAGCAGGAUGUCAGCGGUUCGAGUCCGCUUACCUCCACUGACUAGCCUCCUGAUAAUGACUUUUAAGGAGAUUAUUGUUGAAGGUGAUCUAGAGUUUGUUCUGGAUACAUGAACCUAGCUUCUUGUCAUUCGCAACUGGAAAUUAUUUUUUUGGUUUGUUUGAUAGGACGCUGGGCUCCCUGCAGUACUAGAUAUUGCAGUGAUGUCCAGUAGAACCUUGACAACUGCAUAGGUGAGUCUGGAAAGAAUAAAGCAUCUCAUGGAUGCAUUAUUCUUUUAAAUCAAAUCUAGUUUUCUGCAAAUAUCAGGAUAUCUAGUUUGCUUUAGAAGAAUACAUGUUUAAUUCUUGAGCAAGAGCCGAGACUCUAUAGUGUUCUUUCUUUGCUUAAAUGCACUGAAAGUUAGAUUUUUAAUUUAUCCUUUUAGAUCUCAGAUUGAAUUAUAUUUAAUUCUUUAGAUCUAUUGAAUAGGUUUCAAAUUAAAGAGAAAAGUGCUAACAACACAUCACAUUAUAGAGAUUUAUAU
rnacentral:tRNA from 1 species